rnacentral:rRNA from 1 species
AUUGAACGCUGGCGGAAUGCUUUACACAUGCAAGUCGAACGGCAGCACGGGAGCUUGCUCCUGGUGGCGAGUGGCGAACGGGGGAGUAACAUAUCGGAACGUACCCAGACGUGGGGGAUAACUAUCCGAAAGGAUAGCUAAUACCGCAUACGUACUGAGGGAGAAAGCGGGGGAUCGCAAGACCUCGCGCGAUUGGAGCGGCCGAUAUCGGAUUAGCUAGUUGGUGGGGUAAAGGCUCACCAAGGCGACGAUCCGUAGCGGGUCUGAGAGGACGACCCGCCACACUGGAACUGAGACACGGUCCAGACUCCUACGGGAGGCAGCAGUGGGGAAUUUUGGACAAUGGGCGCAACCCUGAUCCAGCCAUUCCGCGUGAGUGAAGAAGGCCUUCGGGUUGUAAAGCUCUUUCAGCAGGAACGAAACGGUCGGCUUUAAUACAGUCGGCUAAUGACGGUACCUGCAGAAGAAGCACCGGCUAACUACGUG